GGUAAAAUGGCCGAUGAUAAGCACUGAACUGUAAAUUCAAAGAUAGAGACUAGAUAUCUCUUUUUACCA
rnacentral:tRNA from 1 species